AGUGAACGCUGGCGGUAGGCCUAACACAUGCAAGUCGAACGGCAGCACAGUAAGAGCUUGCUCUUACGGGUGGCGAGUGGCGGACGGGUGAGGAAUACAUCGGAAUCUACUUUUUCGUGGGGGAUAACGUAGGGAAACUUACGCUAAUACCGCAUACGACCUACGGGUGAAAGCAGGGGAUCUUCGGACCUUGCGCGAUUGAAUGAGCCGAUGUCGGAUUAGCUAGUUGGCGGGGUAAAGGCCCACCAGGCGACGAUCCGUAGCUGGUCUGAGAGGAUGAUCAGCCACACUGGAACUGAGACACGGUCCAGACUCCUACGGGAGGCAGCAGUGGGGAAUAUUGGACAAUGGGCGCAAGCCUGAUCCAGCCAUACCGCGUGGGUGAAGAAGGCCUUCGGGUUGUAAAGCCCUUUUGUUGGGAAAGAAAAGCAGCAGGUUAAUACCCCGCUGUUCUGACGGUACCCAAAGAAUAAGCACCGGCUAACUUCGU
rnacentral:rRNA from 1 species